rnacentral:lncRNA from 1 species
UUGGACUGAGCAUGGCGCUAAAGUUGAGUAGAACAUUUAGGAAUUAGGAUAAAUAGGAAACAACAAAUAGGUGAAGAAACCGUGAAGUGAAAUGAGUUAUAGAAGACAAUAUGCAUUUUUCUCACUAAAACAAACUUCUGUUUGUGUGCAACUUCUGUACUUGCAUAUAUUUUGGAGGGAGAAACACAGAAAAUACUACCACAUGGAUCAACACAUUUGGAGGGAGAAACUAUAGAUGUACAUCACGGGGUAGCAAAUAAUAUGAACUCCAGGCAGAACAUUUUUUUAACAUCUUUUUGUAUCUCGCAAACUGAAAAUAAGAAGAAAGCAAAUUAGAACACAAAGUAAGAAGAAAGUAGAG